AGCUUUGCGCAGUGGCAGUACCGCAAGCAAUGAGCUUUUAGCGAGCUGCGGUUAUUGCUAGUUGAAAACUAAACCCAAUUCCCCGCCAUUUAAUCGUGUAAUACCGAUUAGAUAGGCAAUUUUUGGAGGCCUAUCGGCC
rfam:Euroglyphus maynei isolate Arlian Lab scaffold446, whole genome shotgun sequence.